AACGUAGGACGCAAGCGUUAUCCGGAGUUACUGGGCGUAAAGCGCGGGCAGGCGGCUCGAUGCGUCCGAUGUGAAAGCGCCCCGCUUAACGGGGCGAGGCCAUUGGAAACGGUCGGGCUGGAGGGCAGUAGAGGCAGGCGGAAUUCCGGGUGGAGUGGUGAAAUGCGUAGAGAUCCGGAGGAACACCAGAGGCGAAGGCGGCCUGCUGGGCCGAUAUUGACACUGACAGACGAAAGCUAGGGGAGCAAAUGGG
rnacentral:rRNA from 1 species